GUAUGUGAGGGCAAUCUGGCUGCAAUAUCUGUCACUCCAUUGAUCAGGGUGGAUUUGGCUGAUCUGACUGGCAAGGCUAGUGUCCCCUUCCUCUUUUACCAUUCUAUGUGCAUCCUUCCCAAAGGUGUAUGGAUAGAGACAGACUAGUCUUUGGUUGAGGUUAUGUGAGUAGCUGCACUCCCAUUAGAACCUCCAAACAGGUAAAACAGGGAAGAUGGCGGACUGAGAAGCUGCUAGUG
rnacentral:snRNA from 1 species